rnacentral:rRNA from 1 species
CGGAGGGUGCAAGCGUUAUCCGGAUUCACUGGGUUUAAAGGGUGCGUAGGUGGGUAGGUAAGUCCGUGGUGAAAUCCUGCAGCUUAACUGCAGAACUGCCGUGGAUACUAUCUCUCUUGAAUACCGUGGAGGUCAGCGGAAUAUGUCAUGUAGCGGUGAAAUGCUUAGAUAUGACAUAGAACACCAAUUGCGAAGGCAGCUGGCUACACGAAUAUUGACACUGAGGCACGAAAGCGUGGGGAUCAAACAGGAUUAGAUACCCUGGUAGUCCACGCCCUAAACUAUGGAUACUCGACAUACGCGAUACACUGUGUGUGUCUGAGCGAAAGCAUUAAGUAUCCCAUCUGGGAAGUACGAUCGCAAGAUUG